rnacentral:snRNA from 1 species
CGAUUACAAUAAUCGAUGUUAAU